UACGUAGGGUGCGAGCGUUAAUCGGAAUUACUGGGCGUAAAGCGUGCGCAGGCGGUUGUGCAAGACAGAUGUGAAAUCCCCCGGGCUUAACCUGGGAAUUGCAUUUGUGACUGCACGGCUAGAGUGUGUCAGAGGGGGGUAGAAUUUCACGUGUAGCAGUGAAAUGCGUAGAUAUGUGGAGGAAUACCGAUGGCGAAGGCAGCCCCCUGGGAUAACACUGACGCUCAUGCACGAAAGCGUGGGGAGCAAACAGG
rnacentral:rRNA from 1 species